AUUAGACGAAUCAUCUGGAAAGAUGAAUCAAAGAAGGUAAUAAUCCUGUAGUCGAAAAUGUUGUCUCUCUUGAGUGGAUCCUGAGUACGACGGAGCACGUGAAAUUCCGUCGGAAUCUGGGAGGACCAUCUCCUAAGGCUAAAUACUCUCUAGUGACCGAUAGUGAACCAGUACCGUGAGGGAAAGGUGAAAAGCACCCCGGAAGGGGAGUGAAAUAGAACCUGAAACCGUGUGCUUACAAGUAGUCAGAGCCCGUUAAUGGGUGAUGGCGUGCCUUUUGUAGAAUGAACCGGCGAGUUACGAUUUGAUGCAAGGUUAAGCAGUAAAUGUGGAGCCGU
rnacentral:rRNA from 1 species